GCCGUAAUAGCUCAACUGGUAGAGCAACUGACUUGUAAUCAGUAGGUUCAGGGUUCAAUUCCUUGUUACGGCACCA
rnacentral:tRNA from 1 species